GGAAUUGCUGCAGACCGGAGACAUUAUGGGCGGAUCUGAAGGCGGGAUAACUGUAAAUGGAAGUGGAUAGUAUUGGCUAAUUCAGAAUUUCAACGAAUUAGAUUGUUGUUAAAGUAUGACAAUCAAAAACUCACUCAACGUUUGAAGUUGUCUAUCAAGUGUAACUUCCACCAAUCUUUUCACAGUUAGUGAUCCCUACCGCUUUGAGGUUCCGCCUCAUAGAGUUUCUUUUGAAAUAGCCUUGCGCUGUACUAAGCAACGAAACUCUGUUAAAGAAAAGAAUACAAAGACGAAGCAGCAGCGAAGAAACUCUAUUAGACCAAAGAAGAAGCGACGAAACGAAUUGUUUGUUAUUUCUGACAAUGAAAGAUCAUAUCGCGAUCAAAAAAUACCACAGACAUUCCGUCCGUACUUCAAUCUUCAGAUGCGUUUUUGUGCUCUUUCUGUCAUCCGCGACUGUAUUCUUCACGCUCGUAUAUACGAGCAAAUGAACAGUUUCGAGAUCACCGCAGAACAGCAGUUUCCUACGGAGGCAGGACCAAGAAGAUCAUGGCAGCAGUGAACUCGUUGAGGAAUAUAUUGAUACAGCCACACCAAGUGUAGGAGAGCAGGCUGGCUGUGUGGCUGCAGUAGGGCAGCUGACUGAAGAACAAGUGGCUCAGGUUUUUGCAGCUGCAGAGAUCAGCAGGGCCUACAGGAGGACUCAACAUGAAAAACUGUUAGAGUUCAUAAUAAAGGACCAUGGAGCAGAUGAUCACUUGCUGGCUGUUGUAUCUCGUAAGGUAUCGUCCAAAUGGUUAAAAAAUUAUGAAAAUCCUAAAGGUCACCGGGUAAUGACUUAUAUAGAAGAUGAGGAGAUGAUAGAUGGCCUCUACAACUUCUUGGAUGAAGUGCUGUCAAGAGCUGUAGGCACUUUUGAGAGGAUUGACAGAGUUCACAUCAUUCUGGAUGUGCUGAUGCCAGAGGCUCUUAUUAAAGCUAUACAAACAGUUGAGAGGAUUUCCCUACCAGAGGCAGAAAAUCUGUUCAUGGAUGGACCAGUAUACAGUGAGUUUGAGAAGAAGAGUUUGACAUACUUGUUUUGCAACAGUUGGAAGCACAAGGAAAGCAACACUGAGGCAUUUAAACUCAGGAUUACAGUUCAACCCUACUCAAAUAAAUGUGUCUCUUUUUUUACUUCUCUUUUGCCUUUUUUAUUUCUGUGUGUUAAAAUGACUGUGCAUAAUAGAGUUGUAUGUAUUUAAUGUAACUAUUGAUGUAAAUAAUAAAGGACACUUUCUGUUAUUGUUAAAGAUUGUUGAUUAAGUUCUGUAUAUUUGAAAUUGCGUGUCUGUUUUUAGACAAUUGAUGUCAUCUGGAUUUUUUCUUUAAUUGUUAUAACUGCUUUGUACAGUUGUUAUGCAUUUUACAUUGUUGUUUUAUGUAUAUAUAAUAUAUAGAAGUGGGCAUGCUGUUGUUUUAAUACUUCAGUAUAUUCCUUGACUGCGGUGGGUUGGCACCCUGUCCGGGAUUGGUUCCUGCGUUGUGCCCUGUGUUGGCUGGGAUUGGCUCCAGCAGACCCC